UGGUUUGUACUAGCUAUCAUCAAUACACCAAUGAGUGGAAUUUAGUUUUAUGAUAAGUAUCUAUGACAUUCCCAUUGCUAAAUUAAAUGACUGUGUAGCAAAACCUUUCAUUUUCUAUAAAUGUGUUUUAAUUUAUCAUAUAUAUAUGUAUAGUGUGUAGUAUCUUUUAAAACUGUAUAUAGAUAACUUUUUCUAGUUUAAUAUCAAAAUAAAGUUUCCAUGUCACAUGCGAAACCUUACCUGUGUUUUUAAGAAUUGGUAGCAGUCAUGUUUAAUAACACCAUUAAACAUGGCGUUAUUUGUCAGGUUGCUUUCAUAUUCAUCUGUGUAAAUAAAAUAGCUAUGCUGUAGGUUUAAUUUUAUUAAGCCUGCAAAUAAAAGAUCACAGCAUAUCCCGAAACAGGUAAAAAAACAAACAGCCAAUUUUAUACAUUUUUUCUUUUCUUUCUUUGCCUUAUUCAAUUUCAGUGAAAAAUUCUAAAUAAUGUCAGAUGUCACCGUGAGGGAAAUUGAAUUUCCUGUGCUGACAUGGCUGUAAAUAUUAUGUUCAGUUCUGGAAACUAUGGAGCAUAGUUUGUCCGUUUGCCUGCGGUGGCCAUUUGCCAUGUGUUUGGGACAUGUCAUUUUAUACUACAUUUGGUCUAGAUAGGGAUAAAUUUGCUUUUACAUACCACCUGGAGAUUUUAAAGAUGCCUUAGUAAUACAUUGAAGUUGAGUUUUUACAAGUUUAUC